AACAGGGUUUCCUUGGAGAUAUGUGCCUCAGAAAUCGGAGAUAUGAAACAUCAGGCUAGUGGCAAACAUCAGGGUAGUGGACGGCAUCAGUUCUGGAAAAGAAGCCUGGGCCAACUUCAGAUAAGGCAGAAGUUCUCAAUUUCCUCUUCCAUCUGUAAAUUGUUCUUCCCUCUGAACUGCAGGAAGAGGAAGUGAACAUGGUGGGGAAAGUCCUCCCUGUUUCAAGCUUUCUGAAGUAAAUGUUCAAGAAGAGACUGAAUGAGACAAAGAGGCUUGGCUGAAAAGAAGGAAAAUCACAUGUAAACCUUCUGCAACCAUCAUAUUUGGCUUGUAAUAUGAAUUACAUUUAAAUGUGAAAAACCAGUUUGAAUCCUCAAAUUACAGCUGCUUAUUUUUUUUCCUGAAGGCAUCUGGUUCAGCUGGUGUGAAAAGUGCUAUUUUUUUCCAUGACAGGAAAUUAUAAUUACACUUUUGAAAACUGAGAAUA